rnacentral:lncRNA from 10 species
GGAAGAAGCCCUUUCCACAUCAACCCACUUAGUGGAGACCCAAAGCUUCAAUUCCAACACCAGGAACCCCAGGGGAAGGAAGGGCACAAAAGGCAGUGUGAGACACCAGAUCUCUGGAGGAGAAUGCUGAACUGGUAUUGAGAAGAGGAAUAGCAUUUUGAGAAAUACCUUCAACAUUCUACACCUUGUAACUCCCUCGGGUCUGUUCCUGGAUUUCUGCUUUUCAAAAAUGAUCAAGCAGG